CUGGUGGUGAAACACCAAGGAUUAGCUUAAAUUUGUUGGGUUUUUUCUGUCUCAUGUAUGUAGUAAUUUGCCCAGGGAAGGCAUUCCUCAAAAUGAGUGAUUUCAAUACUUGAACUACAGGUUCCAUGUACGUGUAGAUAAUGAAAAUACUCUUGUGUGAUUGGGUGAGAUAAUUUGAGCAAUAUAUGGUAUGAAAAGUGAAUCUCUGAACAGUUUUUCAUGGUGCAAACCAUAGGCAGCAAGAGUGAAAUGAGUCAUCCACGUCUUUUAUUGCUAAUAGCAACACUUAGCAAUGCUAAUCAGCUAUACUGAGUUUCUGUUUUCAUUUUCCUAAUAAUUAAGUAAAAGAUCUGGCAUGCAAUCAAGUUUUGCUCUAGGGAGUUCAUGCAAAAUUAAUUUUUUAAUUGUACAUUCUGAUAAAUAUAUCCUGCAAAAGGGAAGUUGCUGAAGUUGAGAAGAAAAGAAAAGAAAAGGAAAUACCAUUUACAGUGUGCUUCACCAGAAUCAGGCAGUGAUAUAGAAGGACAGCUGUUGCCUCAGGACAGAAAUCAACCAGAAAUGGACACCAGUGAAGAUUUGAGAAAGAAAAUCCAAGAGCUUGAGAAAAAAACCUUGGACUUAACCAAUCAACACAGUCAGUGAUAUGUCUCACUAUGAAAAAGAUUUAACAAAAUUAAGGUUGGAACUCGAGAGAGGAGAGGCUCUCCAUCAGGUUCUGGAAAAUGAAAUGUUCUUGGCUAGAAAAGAGGCUGAGGUGCAGAUGUAUUCUACACAAGAAGAGCUCUGUGAUACAAAAGCCAAGCUUUUGGAACUGCAAGCACGCGGGAGAGGACAAAUGCUGGCAGUGCACCACAGAACCUGCACUGGCUCUGGAACCCACCCACCCUCUGAAUCUUUGUGUGUUCACUUUGGACCUGAAGCAGCUGGUUCACCUCCCCUACCUGCUCCUGCUUCUCCAUGUGAUGAUGUUUGUCAGUCACGUGUCUCAACCCCAGCAGCCAGAGCAUCUCCUACUCCUUCUCCUGCUCCUGGAUGGUAAGUCUCAUUUCAAGCAAAUAUGGUCACUUGGAUGUGGAUGCAGAAGUAGCAUCUCCCUUCAUGCUGCAAAGCUUAUAUAGGCAAAUGGAAUGAUAACUAAUUGUAAACAUAACAGAGCAAUAAAAUUAAUGUCAACAGAAACCCUUCAAAGACAAUUGUCAGAAGAGAGAGGGGAUGGUGAAAGCUAGCAUGGGGAUUAAAAUCCUGGAAUGAGUUUUUUUUUCUAUUGGUCCUUUUUUCCUUGGAUACUUUUGCUUUUAGUUUGGAUUAGGUUGUUUGGUUGGUAGGAUUUUUUUGGUUUGCAGAGUAACAGUAGUGUGUGAGUGGGUGUUUGGGUUUUAGCUUUUCUAUUACUUCCUUAAUUUCUUUUUUCUUAACCAAAGACUUCUUUAUUUCUUUCUGUUAUAAACCACUAACAUUUUGUAGCAGCCCUUCCUUACAACCAGUACCAUUCUGGUUGUGUGCAUUUCCUUGCUUUUUCACAUUUCCUUCCACUGAAGUAAAUUAACAUUUUCUGAACAGAUAUUUCUUGGGUUGACAUUGUACCCAGAGCUCCCUGUAGACCUCUUACUCCUGUCCCUGCUCCUGAUGGUAAUUCUGCUUUUCAAGCAAUUUUAGCCACUUGAAUGUGGGUUCCCAGACACCAUCUUCCUUCAUGCUGCACACAUUCUGUAGGCAAAUGUAACUUUACAUAAUUGCAAAUAAAAUGCAGUGUUAGAAGUGGUGCUAAGAGAAAUGUGCUGAGACUUUUUCAGAAGAGAAAGGGGCUGGUGGAGGAUAACACAGGGAUUUAAAUUACAGUAGUAAUUUUUUUCCUACUGGUUCCUAAUUCCCUGCCACUGUUUAUUUGUUUGUUUACUUUUAAUUACAGUUUGAAUGCUUGGUUUCUUGAGUUUUUUCUUUGUUUUGAGGAGUGGUUGAGGUGAGUGUGUGGAUGUUUUGUGUUUGGUUUUUUUUAUUUUAUAUGUUCUUUUAAUUUCUGUCUUUUUUUUCUUUAACCCAAGGAUUUUUCCUUUCUUUCUCUUAUAAACCAUUAAUAUUUUGUAAUACCCUUUCCUUGCAAAUGUAAUCAUUUCUGCUCUUUGAAUUUCCUUAAGUUUUAAAACUUUCUUUUACUGAACAGAUAUUUUCCAGCCUUAUGUUUCAACCCCAGCAGCCAGCUGCACCUGCUGCUCCUUCUCCUGCUCUGGAUGGUAAGUCUCAUUUCAAGUAAAUAUGGUCCCUCGGAUGUGGAUGCAGAAGCAGGAUCUCACUUCAUGCUGCAAAGCUUACAUAGGCAAAUGGAAUGAUACUUACAGUAAUUUCAUUAAUACAAGCCGCACGGACUACAAACCGCAUUGCCGGGUGUUGGCAAACAUUUCGUUCUUUGUCCAUAAAUUAGCCGCACCCAAUUAUAAACCGCUCAGUGAGGACCCGCGUGCAACGAAUUUGCCAAACAGUAACAGAACCACGGGAUCGGGGGCUGGGGUGUACUGGCUCGGCUUGGGCCGUGAGGGCUCAGGGCGGAGCCAGGUGACCCAGCUCGGCGCUGCUGCUCGGCGC
ensembl:lncRNA